AGAAAACGUAAAUUUUAUUGUCGGGAGUUUUUUAUGUUGAGAUUUUAUAAAUUAUAGAGUUGGCAACAGUGCAGUUUGUCAAUGAUCCAUUCAUUGGCACUUUUGGCGCGACAUUAUGUAUUAAUUGUAAGGACAUUUAUAAAGUUUCCAUUGGGAAAAAGUGGAUUAAUAUAGAAAUGUAAGAUAAGGAAACAGAAGACUCUUGCCGGCCGACAGUCUUAAUCAGCAGAUGAGAUAUUAUAAAAUAACAAAACACAUGUUUUUCACGACUUUUUGUAUAGUAAUAUCUUUAUUGUAACCUUCGUUGUAGUAAAAUCUAUUUAAGUACUAUUCAAAAUCCAAAAAGUUUGUAAUAAGUGUAUUUUCGAAAAUAAAAUAUUUUGUAAAAAGUGACAAGUGUUGCGAACAACGACAUUUCUAUAUUUGUGUUGUGCUUAGGCUGUCUACGUUAAGUUCGUUGUUUGAGUAUUAUCUAAAAUAUUUUGGCAUUUCAGGUGAAAUCUGAAUGUUUAAAAAUGUAUGAUUAAGUAUAAAUUGUGUAAUCAGUUUACAAAAGAGGUAGUUUUUGGCCGCAGCGCUGAUCAGAAUACGUAAUUGAAUUUUCUGUUGUAAAAGAGUCUUUUAUAAACUUAAAAAUACAAACAAUAUCCUUGGGUGCUUCGAGGGUAGGUUUACCAUUUUUAAAAUAUUUACAUAACACGUGAAAUUAACGGAUUUUAGAGCUCAGAACCCCAAAUAAAGUACUCAGACAAUUUUAGUGUCCAGCCUUACGAUUUUUAAGGUACCUAACUCUUUUAACUCAAUAAUAAUUAACUUCGUUGAAAUUUUUUUAGAAAACUUUGCACAGAGUUCUUCAUAGAUUUUGGUUUAUAUUGUGUAAGUAGCAAAAAAUAUAUAAAUUUUUAAGUUGAUGUAUUCCAUUGGAAAUAAAUCACGUCCAUGGAGCAUUACGUUGUUAACUAUGUGUUGAUUCAAAGUGAAUAUAAUUAAUAGAUUCA